AACGUAGGAGACAAACGUUUAUCCGGAGUUACUGGGCGUAAAGGGCGUGUAGGUGGUUUCGUAAGUCUGGCGUGAAAUAUCUCGGCUUAACCGAGGCAGGGUCGUCGGAUACUGCGGAACUAGAGGACGGUAGAGGCGUGUGGAAUUCCGGGUGUAGUGGUGAAAUGCGUAGAGAUCCGGAGGAACACCAGUGGCGAAGGCGACACGCUGGGCCGUACCUGACACUGAUGCGCGACAGCAUGGGGAGCAACAGG
rnacentral:rRNA from 1 species